rnacentral:rRNA from 1 species
UCCAAGGCAUAGACACCAGUCAAAGUCCAACUUGACAGUGGCCACAGCCCAUAGAGGGUGAUAGGCCCGUAAGGCGGUUGUCUGGCUUUGCUGACCUCUUCUCAGAGUCGGGUAGCUUGUGAGUGCUGCCCAAAGCGCGAGGUAAACUCCUCGUAAGGCUAAAUACAACCCCAAGACCGAUAGCAAACAAGUACAGUGAUGGAAAUUUGAAAAGAACUUUGAAGAGAGAGUUAAGAGUACGUGAAACUGUAUGGUAGCAAACGCAGCCUUCCUCGAAGUUUCCUCCUGUGGAUCCAACCUAAGAGUGUGGCAGCGCUGGCGUGUCCUGUUCAGCAAUGUCAGGCGCGCCAAUGUCUUGCCGCAUCUCGGGGGCGCAUCUUCACAGGUUGUUUACAGUAGGAACCGUUGGGCCUGGACCAAAGGCCCGGGCAGAAGUUGCUGCUGCCGUUCGCGGCGGUGGUAGNGCCCGGUGACCUGGCUUUGGGCCCCGACGGGCGCUCGGUGUCCAACUUGUACAGCAAGCAACACUUGUCUGUUGCGGUUGGCCAUUCCCUACUGAGUAGGUCGGCGGAGGCUGCGACCCGUCUUGAAACACGGACCAAGGAGUCUAACAUGUGUACAAGUCACUGGGUUGACUAAACCNGGAGGCACAGUGAAAGCAAAGGGCUGCUUGCAGCCCGAGGGAAGAUCCUUUAACCAGGCGCAUUCCCGCCAUUUCCAAUUAGCCUCGUCUGUUGGGAAUAGGAAGAGUAGACAUGUUGGGACC